rnacentral:misc_RNA from 1 species
GAUGAAGAACGUAGCGAAAUGCGAUAAGUAAUGCGAAUUGCAGAAUUCCAGUGAGUCAUCGAAUCUUUGAACGCACAUUGCGCCCAUUGGUAUUCCGAAGGGCAUGCCUGUUCGAGCGUCAUUAUCACCCCUCAAGCCCUCGGCUUGGUGUUGGACGGUUUGGUGGAGGCCCCCUCGGGGGCUCCUGCCCCUCCCAAAGACAAUGACGGCGGCCUCGUUGGACCCCCGGUACACUGAGUUCUUCACGGGACACGUAUCGGACACAUGGGUUUACGGGACACGGUCUGCCUCCCCUCAGGGAGAAUCUUUCUAAGGUUGACCUCGGAUCAGGUAGGGAUACCCGCUGAACUUAAGCAUAUCAAUAAGCGGAGGA